GCCGGGCGUGGCAGCGCAUGCCUGUAAUCCCAACUACUAGGGAGGCUGAGGCAGAAGAAUCGUUUGAACCCAGGAGGCAGAGGUUGCAGUGAGCCGAGAUCGCACCACUGCAUUCCAUCCUGGGCAACAAAGCGAGACUCCGUCUCAA
ensembl:misc_RNA Metazoa_SRP Metazoan signal recognition particle RNA